UGGGGAAUAUUGGACAAUGGGCGCAAGCCUGAUCCAGCAAUACCGCGUGAGUGAUGAAGGUCUUCGGAUUGUAAAGCUCUUUUAGUGGGGAAGAUAAUGACGGUACCCACAGAAAAAGCACCGGCAAACUUCGUGCCAGCAGCCGCGGUAAUACGAAGGGUGCUAGCGUUGUUCGGAAUUACUGGGCGUAAAGCGUACGUAGGCGGCUUUGUAAGUCGAUUGUGAAAGCCCAGGGCUUAACCCUGUGAAUUGCAACCGAAACUGCUUUGCUUGAGUUUGGUGGGGGAUGGCGGAAUUCCUAGUGUAGGAGUGAAAUCCGUAGAGAUUAGGAGGAAUACCGGUGGCGAAGGCGGCCAUCUACGCCAAUACUGACGCUAAGGUACGAAAGCGUGGGGAGCAAACAGGAUUAGAUACCCCGGUAGUCC
rnacentral:rRNA from 1 species